AGACUAAUAGUGUAGUCGAAAGGUUGGAUUUACUGUAUUUCGUUCAGGUCUUACAAUAUUGACUAACAUAGCUAUAGGCCUGACUCAUAAUAAUGAACAUAUCCCUGAGGAUUUAAGAGAGAUUUGUUAUUAAACUUAGGUUCCGUGGUAAAAGUUUUGCUAAAGUGGCCUAACUGCAACUUCUAAAUGCUUUAAUAGUUUUGUGGAUUUCAUGGUUGUGAAAAGUGCUGGCUUGGUAUCUGUGAAAACUGAAGCCCAUUCUUUAUUCAUGGAUUAAUUACAGCAGAGCAGUUGCCAAGUGAUCUUCUCCACAGCACCCAUGAACUUCAGACUUGAACCGAAGAGGACUCAUCAAAUGGCUUAGGAGAGACAGCAUGGAAUUGGAAGAGAAGCAGGGAUCUCCAUGAAAGGCAGUCAACUACUUCUUGGUGUGUGGAGGAACAGUUCCUGUUCUCACUGUUGUUGCUCCCACAUAGGCGGACUCUGUAAUUGAUUAUGUGUGGGUAGGGCCCUUCUGAAAUUAAGGAGAUUCUGCAAUAGUGCAGGGUUCUUUUGGUGAAAGUUCAGUUGCAAGAUCAGGACCCUACUGUGACUCCUUACUGUGAAUUCUGUCAGUGUGUCAUUGAUUGUGCUGGAACCUGCCUUUUGGGAAAAUUACCAAAUAAUAUAUUCCUCAAAACUUCUUAAUGGCACUGAGGCUUUGUGGAUAGUUGGUCACAUGAUGAGAAAAUUUGGCUGCCCAUCAAGACUACUUCUACCUGAUACCUCUCCUUCAGUAUCAAGAGGCUGACUGGUUUUGAUCAACACAUGAUGCCAGCUUCCAUCAUUCGGUCGUUAAAUUUUCAGACUGGAUAUUUUCUCUUCAGCUGCCUCUCAUGUAUUGGUUAACUUCUUCAUAAACAGAACUGUUCACUAUCUUCCUUUAAAUAUCUUCUUAAAAGUUUUAUGUAAUGCGAGGCAUAAAACAAUCCAACUAGACAACAGUUAUAUUGCAGGUAUAUUAAUGCCAACGCUUAUCACAGUAGUACUGUGUCAUCGCAUUUGUACUCUGCCAUAAUUUCUCUGUUGUCUCUUUAUGUAGAAUUCAAGCACAUCCGCUUCUUGUUGUGUGUUUUUUUGUGGCCCAGCAUAAUGAGAAGUGGUCCAGGGUGAGGCCUCCGUAGAUUUAUGGUAAUACAUAUAAUAAUAAAUAAUAGUGAACACCUACUGGAUACUGCAGUGUGGCUGUUGGAUUCUGCUGUGCCUCAUGUCACAUCGUAUUUAAUGGAGAAAGAAGGUGCUCCAACUAGAGGCCUCACAAGAGGGAAAGAAGAAGGGCUUUGCAGCCAACAGAUAAAAUGCUAGCCCCAGAGGCCUUCUCAACUGUCAAACCCGAGUCCAUAGCUACUGGCUGAAAGCAUCCCUCUCUUCUCUUCUCCAGAGCAGUAAAAACAGACUCUCCAUUCUCAUAGAAGGAAGUAAAUUCAAAUAACACAAAGGUCUACACUGCGUGUAAAAGCUACCAUCUCUUCUGAAGCUUUUCACUUACUACCUCUCUGACCAUCCUACCUUCUCUGUUGAAAGUAGUGUCCUAACUUCUGCUGUGGAAGACUGCUGACCCUUUCCUUUGAUGCUGAUACCAGUAUUGUCUGUGAGAGAUAGUACUGUAGUGAAGACAUAGAAAAAGAAGAAUACGGCACUUAUGGAUUCUUUGUAGUUUUGAAUAGUCAAGAAGUAUUGUUCUUCUGCCUUCAUAUAAAAUGUGUUAGUUUUCUAAUGUAAUUUCAAGAUGUUUAUGGAAGUGUAAAAUUAAACAUGAAGAAUAUAAAAUCCGUAUUAAAGACAUUUAAAUUUAACAAAGUAUAGCAUUAGUCUUUAUUUUCAAAAUUGAGUCCUACAUGGCUCACUUGCAAGAAGUGGGAUAGAUUGUAAAAGUUGUGUACUGGUGAAGUCUGACUUAUUGAAAGGUAAAUUUAUU